UGUUAUGUCAAUGAUAUUUUUCCAAAAUAAUUUUAGACCACACAAAUCCCUUUCUCGAAUCUCAAGCUUCAUUCGUCUACCUCUUGAGUUUUCUCUCUAAACUCAGACCCUCUCUCUUUUCUCUCUCUACCUCGCAACCCUUGAUUUCUCUUCGUGUUGCUGAAACCUAAAGCACCGAAACUGUGAGACCCAGACCCAGCGCCUCUUUCUCCCCCUGUUUCCAUCGUCUUGACCACAGCCUCUGCAAUUUCCAGCAUUGCUAGCAGCUACAUCGCAUCUAUGUUGUGGUAAUGACUCCUCCGUACCAAGCCAGCCAGAUCUACCAUUCUCUUCCCAAUCUCCUCCAUCACGCCUUAGAAACGGUGGUUUCGAUCCACAAAGGUUUCAGCUCACCCAUCAAACAUCAUUUGGAAAGUGGCAUUUAAAUUUUUGGUGUGGUAACGAAUCCACCGUACCAAGCCACGCCAAGUCAGCCAAAUCUGCCAUUCUCUUCUCAAUCUCCUCCACCACAUCUUAGAAACGGUGGUUUCAGUAGUUCUCUCUCUCUCUCUCUCUCUCUCUCUCUCUCUCUCUCUCUCUCUCUCUCUCUCUCGUCCAUGGCUAAAGAAGCCUAGCUCAGCCACCGUCACUCUCUUUCUAUGGGAUUCAACUGGAUUUAUUUAUUUAUUUGUUUUUUUUUUUUCGUGUUUGUUGCAUUUACCGAGCAUUGGGAUUAACUCACAGUUCAUCAUGUAGAUCCACAAAGGUUUUAGCUCACCCAUCAAACAUCAUUUGGAAAGUGGCAUCUGAAUUUUUGGAGUGACCAUCGAUUGCUUCAAUGGCUGGUUAGUUGAUCAGUACUAUUGCAAAAAUGACCAAUUUUUAACAUCCCUUUUACUAAACAUGAUGAGAAUGAAUCAAAAUUAUAAUCUUUUUAUCUUUUUAAGGAUUGUUUUCUUAGACAGUUCUACAAAUCUGUCUCUAAAGUGGAUUACUUCAUUCUUGGACAUGGAUUCAUUAUGGUAUCUAUUUCAACCAAUUACCCAUUUAAUAAAUUCAAGUCUAUCGAUUUCCUUGAUUGAUCAUAUAUUUUUUGUCAGUCUUGCGUGUACUAUAAUUCCAGGCCCACUUCUCAGAAGGAAGUAACUUUAAUUAUCAAAAGUAUAUAAGAAGAGCUUUGGAAAAAGACUUUGGAGAUUUGGAUAUAUUUUGUAUUGUUUGUAUUCUUCAAUGCACGGAUAGAGUGCAUUCACUUGUUAAUGUUAUGAUGAUUUAGAUUUCUGUAGUUUAUUUAUUUUGCUAGGCAUUAACUGUUAUUUAAGGGGCCUCAUCCCCAGAUUUCUAUGCUUAUGAAAAUGGUCAUUUAUGUUGGGUUUCUCUUCAUCCAUUUGCUUGGGUUUUUUUCUCUCUCUCUAAAUGCAGGUGUUACACUUAUUGUUAGUCCUAUAUCAUCAUAUCCACUUAUUUUCUCUCCUUCCUAUCUUAGUUCUGCCAGCAAGAUUAUUCAAUUAGUAAUUCAUAAUCUCAAAUAUUUAACUUGGCUCACCUACAAGUUUGCAUGCUUUUGUGCAGCUUCAAAUAUAUCUAAUGUUGAUUGCAUAUUGAAUUGUGACCAAGAGUAUCUUUUUUUCGUCUUUCCGAUUUUGGAGCACAUUUGCAUCUUCCUAUGGUGACGUCAAAAUUGGACCGAUUUUCUUUAUUAAGCAAUCUUCCUUUUGCGGUAAACUUUACAAAGUUAAAACUUUGUAAAGGAAAGACACUGCUCGUUUGUUCCCAUAAUGGUAAAGAUUCUAACUUCUCUUUCAUCAGUGGUAAUACAUAUUUAUUAACUUGAUGGGAUUAGAUGUGUCAAGUUAUGGACUGAUAUCCAUGGAUAUGAAAUCAUUUGAAUUAGCUCAAAUGUGUUUUUAUCAUAUCAUUUCAGUUGGCCUUUGUAUUCAUGUUUCGUACAGGAUUCAUCCUUAAAUUAAAGAACGUUUUUCUCUUGUUUCUUGAAUUAUAAGUAUU